rnacentral:tRNA from 1 species
CCUGGUGGCUCAGGUGGUAAAGUGUCUGCCUACAAUGCAGAAGACCCAGGUUCGAUCCCUGGGUCAGGA